AGCGAACGCUGGCGGCAGGCUUAACACAUGCAAGUCGAGCGGGCAUCUUCGGAUGUCAGCGGCAGACGGGUGAGUAACACGUGGGAACGUACCCUUCGGUUCGGAACAACUCUGGGAAACUGGAGCUAAUACCGGAUACGCCCUUAUGGGGAAAGGUUUACUGCCGAAGGAUCGGCCCGCGUCUGAUUAGCUAGUUGGUGGGGUAACGGCCUACCAAGGCGACGAUCAGUAGCUGGUCUGAGAGGAUGAUCAGCCACACUGGGACUGAGACACGGCCCAGACUCCUACGGGAGGCAGCAGUGGGGAAUAUUGGUCAAUGGGCGCAAGCCUGAUCCAGCCAUGCCGCGUGAGUGAUGAAGGCCUUAGGGUUGUAAAGCUCUUUUGGCCGGGACGAUAAUGACGGUACCGGAAGAAUAAGCCCCGGCUAACUUCGU
rnacentral:rRNA from 1 species